rnacentral:rRNA from 1 species
UACGUAGGUGGCAAGCGUUAUCCGGAUUUAUUGGGCGUAAAGCGAGCGCAGGCGGUUACUUAAGUCUGAUGUGAAAGCCUUCGGCUUAACCGAAGAAGUGCAUCGGAAACUGGGCGACUUGAGUGCAGAAGAGGACAGUGGAACUCCAUGUGUAGCGGUGGAAUGCGUAGAUAUAUGGAAGAACACCAGUGGCGAAGGCGGCUGUCUGGUCUGCAACUGACGCUGAGGCUCGAAAGCAUGGGUAGCGAACAGG